rnacentral:rRNA from 1 species
GACGGGUACCCGGCCUGAGAGGGUGAACGGACACACUGGAACUGAGACACGGUCCAGACUCCUACGGGAGGCAGCAGUAGGGAAUAUUGCUCAAUGGGGGAAACCCUGAAGCAGCAACGCCGCGUGGAGGAUGAAGGUUUUAGGAUUGUAAACUCCUUUUGUUAGAGAAGAUUAUGACGGUAUCUAACGAAUAAGCACCGGCUAACUCCGUGCCAGCAGCCGCGGCAAUACGGAGGGUGCAAGCGUUACUCGGAAUCACUGGGCGUAAAGAGUGCGCAGGCGGGAUAGCAAGUCAGAUGUGAAAUGCUAUGGCUUAACCAUAGAACUGCAUUUGAAACUGUUAUUCUA